rnacentral:misc_RNA from 1 species
UAAGGAUCGGUUGUAACUAGAA